UACGAGGGGGGCGAGCGUUGUUCGGAAUUAUUGGGCGUAAAGGGUGCGUAGGCGGUUUGGUAAGUCUGAUGUGAAAUCUAUGGGCUCAACUCAUAGUCUGCAUCGGAAACUGCCGGGCUUGAGUGUGGGAGAGGUGAGUGGAAUUCCUGGUGUAGCGGUGAAAUGCGUAGAUAUCAGGAGGAACACCUGUGGCGAAAGCGGCUCACUGGACCAUAACUGACGCCGAUGCACGAAAGCGUGGGGAGCAAACAGG
rnacentral:rRNA from 1 species